AUUUCCGUAUUAGCUCUAAGUUCUUUCGGUCCUUUUCAUGAUCCCGACUUUCCGUAUUAUCUCUAAAUUCUUUCGGUCCUUUUUAUGAUCCCGACUUUCCGUAUUAGGUUUAAGCUCUUUCGGUCGUUUUUAUGAUCCCCGACUUUCUGUAUUAGCUCUAAGGUCUUUAGGUCCUUUUUAUGAUCCCCGACUUUGCGUAUUAGCUCUAAGCUCUUUCCGUCCAUUUUAUGAUCCCCGACUAUCCGAAUUAGCUCUAAGUUCUUUCGGUCCUUUUUUUGAUCCCCGACUUUCCGUAUUAGCUCUAAGCUCUUUCGGUCCUUAUUAUGAUCCCCGACUUUCCGUAUUAGCUCUAAGCUCUUUCGGUCCUUUUUAUGAUCCCCGAAUUUCCGUAUUAGCUCUGAGCUCUUUCGGUCCUUUUUAUGAUCCCCGACUUUCCGUAUUAGCUCUAAGUUCUUUCGGUCAUUUUUAUGAUCCCCGACUUUCCGUAUUAGCUCUAAGCUCUUUCGGUCCUUUUUAUGAUCCCCAACUUUCCGUAUUAGCUCUAAGUUCUAUCGGUCCUUUUUAUGAUCCCCGACUUUCCGUAUUACCUCUAAGUUCUUUCGGUCCUUUUUAUGAUCCCCGACUUUCCGUAUUAGCUCUAAGUUCUUUCGGUCCUUUUUAUGAUCCCCGACUUUCCGUAUUAGCUCUAAGUUCUUGAGGUCCUUUUUAUGAUCUCCGACUUUCCGUAUUAGCUCUAAGUUCUUUCGGUCCUUUUUAUGAUCCCCGACUUUCCGUAUUAGCUCUAAGUUCUUUCGGUCUUUUUUAUGAUCCCCGACUUUCCGUAUUAGCUCUAAGUUCUUUCGGUCCUUUUUAUGAUCCCCGACUUUCCGUAUUAGCUCUAAGUUCUUUCGGUCCUUUUUAUGAUCCCCGACUUUCCGUAUUAGCUCUAAGUUCUUUCGGUCCUUUUUAUGAUCCCCGACUUUCCGUAUUAGCUCUAAGUUCUUUCGGUCCUUUUUAUGAUCCCCGACUUUCCGUAUUAGCUCUAAGUUCUUUCGGUCCCUUUUACGAUCCCCGACUUUCCGUAUUAGCUCUAAGUUCUUUCGGUCCUUUUUAUGAUCCCCAACUUUCCGUAUUAGCUCCAAGUUCUUUCGGUCCUUUUUAUGAUCCCCGACUUUCCGUAUUAGCUCUAAGUUCUUUCGGUCCUUUUAUGAUCCCCGACUUUCCGUAUUAGCUCUAAGUUCUUUCGGUCCUUUUUAUGAUCCCCGACUUUCCGUAUUAGCUGUAAGUUCUUUCGGUCCUUUUUAUGAUCCCCGACUUUCCGUAUUAGCUCUAAGUUCUUUCGGUCCUUUUUAUGAUCCCCCGACUUUCCGUAUUAGCUCUAAGUUCUUUCGGUCUUUUUUAUGAUCCCCGACUUUCCGUAUUAGCUCUAAGUUCUUUCGGUCCUUUUUAUGAUCCCUGACUUUCCGUAUUAGCUCUAAGUUCUUUCGGUCCUUCCGUAUUAGCUCUAAGUUCUUUCGGUCUUUUCUAUGAUCCCAGACUUUCCGUAUUAGCUCUAAG
rnacentral:lncRNA from 1 species